rnacentral:rRNA from 1 species
AGCGAACGCUGGCGGCAGGCCUAACACAUGCAAGUCGAGCGCCCGUAGCAAUACGGGAGCGGCAGACGGGUGAGUAACGCGUGGGAACAUACCCUUCGGUUCGGAAUAACUCAGGGAAACUUGAGCUAAUACCGGAUACGUCCGUGAGGAGAAAGAUUUAUCGCCGAAGGAUUGGCCCGCGUAAGAUUAGCUAGUUGGUGAGGUAACGGCUCACCAAGGCUAUGAUCUUUAGCNGUUCUGAGAGGAAGAUCAGCCACACUGGGACUGAGACACGGCCCAGACUCCUACGGGAGGCAGCAGGUGGGGAAUUAUUGGACAAUGGGCGCAAGCCUGAUCCAGCCAUGCCGCGUGAGUGAU